rnacentral:rRNA from 1 species
UACAGAGGUCUCAAGCGUUGUUCGGAAUCACUGGGCGUAAAGGGUGCGUGGGUGGCGUGGAAAGUCAGAUGUGAAAUCCGGGGGCUCAACCUCCGAAUUGCAUCCGGUACUCCCAUGCUAGAGAACUGGAGGGGAGUCUGGAAUUCUCGGUGUAGCAGUGAAAUGCGUAGAUAUCGAGAGGAACACUAGUGGCGCAGGCGAGACUCUGGACGGUUUCUGACACUGAUGCGCGAAGGCCAGGGUAGCGAACGGG